rnacentral:rRNA from 1 species
UUGACCUCGGAUUAGGUAGGAAUACCCGCUGAACUUAAGCAUAUCAAUAAGCGGGAGGAAA